GAGUUUGAUCGUGGCUCAGGAUGAACGCUGGCGGCGUGCUUAACACAUGCAAGUCGAACGAAGCGCCUUAUUUGAUUUUCUUCGGAACUGAAGAUUUGGUGACUGAGUGGCGGACGGGUGAGUAACGCGUGGGUAACCUGCCCUGUACAGGGGGAUAACAAUCAGAAAUGACUGCUAAUACCGCAUAAGACCACAGCACCGCAUGGUGCAGGGGUAAAAACUCCGGUGGUACAGGAUGGACCCGCGUCUGAUUAGCUGGUUGGUGAGGUAACGGCUCACCAAGGCGACGAUCAGUAGCCGGCUUGAGAGAGUGAACGGCCACAUUGGGACUGAGACACGGCCCAAACUCCUACGGGAGGCAGCAGUGGGGAAUAUUGCAC
rnacentral:rRNA from 1 species